AUGCUUCCUUCGAGGGUAUCGUUCAUCGGAACUGUACGUGAUUGAAUGAAAGUAAGAUUCCCAUUACUUUGCUUUCACCAAUCCAGAUUAGUGUCUAAACAGGGCCCUACCCACUCCUAUAGAAGUUAAUGGUGUGUUUUUCCAUCUGCGCCAGGCUGUGCUGAGGGCUAUGCCAGAGAUGCCACAGAGAUCCAGAACAUCCAGAUAGCAGAGGGAGAUGUCUGCCACAGCCUCCCCAUCCCCAUCUACAUGGUCUUCCCCAGGCUCUUUACCUGCCCUACCCUUGAGACCAUCAACUUUAAAGUCGAGUUUGAGGUGAAUGUGGUGAUUGUCCUCCAUGACGAACAUCUGAUCACUGAGAACUUUCCUCUGAAGCUGUGCCGAGCGUGAGAGCCCAGAGCUCCACUACAAUGGAGGAUGGUCAGAGGAUAGUGCCGUUGACAUGCCUGGGCAAGAACGACCUGAAGUGACCAAGGACUCAAAGUCCAGAGAGAGCCAAGCCUACAAGUCCUGGCAGACAGCCAUAUCUGUUGGCUGGGCUUCCCUGCUCUGAAUGACAGUCUAUAAGUGCAUAAUGUUAUAUGGAUGUAUGUCUCCAGUUCAGAAAAAAAAGACUGAAAAAGCAGAGGAUGUUCAAGAUUGUGGGCUACCAUUCAAUAUAAUAGUGCAAAUGUCAAAAUGGAUCAAGUAACAUAAUUGUGUAUCAAUUCAUGAUAUCGUUGAAGCUGCAUUGUUGCAUUUCAAAAGUCUUUUGGGGAGACAUUGCCCAUCAUUAGCAGUAAUGUGGUCAAUUUCUAACUGAAUGUUGGCACUGUCAAAAUGUAGCCCAAAGAACAUUCUAAAUGGAGGCAUUUCAAACUAACAAGGUAUUCAAAAUCAACCAUGUUAUUAAAUGCUAUUUAACAUUUCAGUUAUGUUAUCAUUGUAAAUUGUGUGAAUUGGCUUAACACCAAAGAGCUGGCUCAAGGAGUUAAGCAGCUUCAGUAAAGAUUGACACAUUUUAGACUGAAUCCAUAUUCCCAAACCAUAAGAUGGCUGGCUAAAAGUAAUGAUCCGGCUUUCUGAUAUACUGUACCCCCCACCCCACCCAGGACUCAGACGUAAUGUCCCAACAGCAGAUGAAAUUUACUUUCAACGUAAGCCUUAAAUAACAGAUUUUAAUGCUGGGCUAAGGACCUGAUGCAUCUGGAGGAAACUCCCAUCUUGAUAAAUAAAAAGUAGCUACUUUCA